rnacentral:misc_RNA from 1 species
ACUUAUAUGUUUGGUAUGUACUAGCUUGGAUAUUUUCAGUCAUAGCAGCCAUUUCGGGCACGUACUGGGACCUUGUCAUCGACUGGGGGCUUCUGCAACGGCAUUCAAAGAACCGAUGGUUGCGCGACAAGCUUCUCGUCCCUCAAAAGAGCGUAUAUUUUGUUGCAAUGGCAUUGAAUGUGGUGCUGAGACUUGCUUGGAUGCAAACUGUGUUGAACUUCAAGGUCCCAUUCUUGCACAGAGAAGGCUUGGUUGCCAUUGUUGCUAGCUUGGAGAUCAUUCGCCGUGGCAUAUGG